GUAUAUUUUUAUAUAUAAAUAUUAAUAUUAAUAUAAAUAAAUAUAUACAGGGUGUCUCAUAACUCCUUACCUCCCCGUUAAUAGUGUAUAGUUUGGACUUAGCUGAGCCCUGUACCAUUUUGCGAUUUUCUCAAUAAUAACCGAAUUAUUAACGAUUAAAGUAAAUGAAUAAGAGCGCGGAUCGUCGCAGCGAAGUCGUCGGUAGGAGGGCCACGCUAACGCGCGUACUGAUUCGCUAAUCUUUUUUUAUUAAUAUCUCAAAAUUUUACGUGGUUAAUUGCAAACUGAUAUAGAACUUUUCAGUUUAACGAGAUCUACCUGCAGGAGUGAUUGGACACUUUACGCGAGACACCCUGUAUAUGAAUGUAUUAGUAUAUUAAAACUGUUUACGAUACUUUAAAAAGUACAGUGAUCCAUGUGAAAAAGGUUUUAAUAUUCCACCGUUGAAUUAAUUCGAAAUGGACGUAUUUGGGAUAGAAAAAAUAAUUUUAAAAUAAUUGACGUCUUGUACUUUUCUCAGUACCAACAGUUCCUAAAUAUAUCGUCAUGCAUAAUAAAUGGUCUAUAUGUUGGAGCAAGUUUGGCAAACUUUCAUUGGCAAUAUAACAAUAUAUUAGCACAAGAUUGCGCAUGCACGUACUUCCACGAAUGUUAUAUGUUUUCCUUCUUCUUCGUUCUGCAAGAGCUAUAAUCGUUUGUCAGACAAUCACAUUCAGUACCUCAUGCAGUUAACGUGAUCGAUGAUUACCUAGGUCGUGUAUAUCAGAGUAGCGAAACCUUCUAAAGAUGCUACAUAUAAUCCGCCGACAUUCAGGGUCAAAAUUCUGCUGCUCCUUAGUAAUAGAAACAGUACUAGUUUCUGUAUGCGUAUCGGUGCUAAAUAUCAUGAAACGGUGUAUCUAGAAAGAAAUAACUAAAAUAAAAGUGUCAAUUAGAGAAAUUUAGGAAAAUAAAUUAUUAAUUUUUUGCACAUA